GUGGAGGGGUUGGGGGGAGGGCUGCCCACACUUGAAAAACUCAGUAAGCUUAGAAAACAGCCCCAACGGCCUGAUGGCAAUACCAAAGCAGGUGUGUCUGUGCAGCCAGAUCCAAAGGGCACUCCACUGAGGAAGGGCCAGGGUAUGAAGAGCCUGCUCGAGCCAUGGGACAUUUUCUGCGGUGAGCUGGGCUCCAAGGGUCGAGAUCCUGAUCUGAAACCUAUAGGUUGGACAACCACAGAGUUAUAAAGAUCAGCCCACAAGUGUCGACAUGCAAAACUGCUCUGUCACCAAAGUCUGAGAAAACCGGGAACUUGACUAGGAAAUACUCAUCUGCGGAAUGGGAAGGAGAGAAAAAAAAAUCAAAGAUACAAAUGGAGAAACACACCUUAAAGAUGUGGAGAGCUGUGGCCUUCCUACCUGAGGUUAAGGGAGGAUAGGAGAAGCCUUCCCAUGGAGUACAGAGAAAUCUACCUACUUCUUUACAGCUUCAUUCGAUGCCAGAGCAUUUCAAGUCUUGUCCCUAGUGAGGACUAUUUCAGUCAUUUCUACCAUUCGGACUCCUAAAGUUAAAUUCUCCACUGACUGGGACCAAACAGGCACAAGUUUACGUGUGUUUUUCAGAAAGAGUACUCCAAGAGUAAAUGAACAGCCACUGGCCAAUACCCUUAACAGAGGGGAAUAAUAAAGAUCAGUCACCAAAACAAACAAUA